GGAUACGUUUUUAGUAUUUGAUGUUAGGUUCAACAUUCCCUCCGGUAGGACUGCAACCAUUUUCAGUACUUGGCCAAAUAACACUCUGAAACAGCUUGGAUAGAGUGAAACCUUCUUUAUGAACAGAUUGUGAUCUAUAGAGGGCUUGCAGAUGCGUUAUGGUGGAAGACCAAAGUCCUCCAAUCGUUCACAUGGCUGGCUGCGUUUUGCUACCACCGGAAACUUUGGGAAUAUUGCCCAUUAUUUAGUUUGUCUAAGGACCCAGAAAACGGAGGCAGUGGGAGAACCUAUUCAAGUACAAAGAGCUGUGAAACCCUGUCUGCAGAUGGUCCCAAGAGAAUAAGGGGCCAUUCUUGUAUACCAUGGAUUAUAUGUGUACCUAGGUUCGCAAAUUUAGUGAACAAAAAUACAGUAUUUGUCACACAAUGUAUAAACCUAUUACAACUGGAGCAGGCCAACCCUGCUGGGUGUGCAGGCUUCUGUUUCAACACACCUGAUUCAAAUCCAAUUUUAUUUGUCACAUACACAUGGUUAGCAGAUGUUAACAAUUCCCCAACAAGUAUCUAAUACACACAAAUCUAAAAGGGUGAAUGAGAAUAUGUACAUGUAAGUAUAUGGAUGAGCGGUGGCCUAGCGGCAUAGGCAAGAUGCAAUAGAUGGUAUAAAAUACAGUAUAUACACUACCGUUCAAAAGUUUGGGGUCACGUAGAAAUAUCCUUGUUUUUAAAGGAAAGCACAUUUGUCUGUUAAAAUUGAUCAGAAAUACAGUGUAGACAUUGUUAAUGUUGUAAAUGACUAUUGUAGCUGGAAACGGCAAAUUUUUGAUUUAAGAAGAAAUAAAACUGGCCUUUUCUAAUACUACUUGAGUAUCUGGAGCAUCAGCAUUUGUGGGUUCGAUUACAGGCUCAAAAUGGCUAGAAACAAAUAACUUUCUUCUGUUUUGACAUUAACAAUGUCUACACUGUAUUUCUGAUCAAUUUGAUGUUAUUUUAAAGGACAAAACAUUAGCUUUUCUUUCAAAAACAAGGACAUUUCUAAGUGACCCCAAACUUUUGAACGGUAGUGUACAUGUGAUAUGAGUAAUGUAAGAUAUGUAAACAUAAUUAAAGUGGCAUUGUAUGAAGUGACUAGUGAUCCAUUUAUUAAAGUGGUCAGUGAUGUAGACAGCAGCCUCUCUGAGGUAGUGAUUGCUGUUUACCAGUCUGAUGGCCCUGAGAUAGAACCUGUUUUUCAGUCUCUCGGUCCCAGCUUUGAUGCACCUGUACUGACAUCGCCUUCCGGAUGGUAGCGGUGUGAACAGGCAGUGGCUCGGGUGGUUGUUUUCCUUGAUGAUCUUUUUGGCCUUCCUAUAGGUGUCAUGAAGGGCGGGUAGUUUGCCCCCGGUGAUGCGUUAUGCAGACCGCACCACCCUCUGGACAGCCUUGCGGUUGAGGGCAGUGCAGUUGUGAUACAGCCCGACAGGAUGCUCUCGAUUGUGCAUCUGUUAAAGUUUGUCAGGGUUUUGGGUGACAAGCCAAAUUUCUUCAGCCUCCUGAGGUUGAAGAAGCGUUGUUGUGCCUUCUUCACCACACUGUCUGUGUGGGUGGACCAUUUCAGAUUGUCUGUGAUGUAUAUGCCGAGGAACUUAACUUUCCACCUUCACUGCUGUCCCUUCGAUGUGGAUCGGGGGGUGCUCCCUCUGCUGUUUCCUGAAGUCCACGAUCAUCUCCUUUGUUUUGUUGACGUUGAGUGAGAGGUUGUUUUCCUGACACCACACUCCGAGUGCCUUCACCUCCUCCCUGUAGCCUGUCUCGUUGUUGGUGAUCAAGCCCACUACUGUUGUGUCGUCUGCAAACUUGAUGAUUGAGUUGGAGGCGUGCAUGUCCACGCAGUUGUGGGUGAACAAGGAGUACAGAAGGGGGCUGAGCACGCACUCUUGUGAGGCCCCAGUGUUGAGGGUCAGCAAAGUGGAGAUGUUGUUUCCUACUUUCCCCACUUGGGGGCGGCCCCUCAGAACGUCCAGGAUCCAAUUCACAGGGUGGGGUUGAGACACAGGGCCUCCAGCUUGAUGAUCAGUUUGGAGGGCACUAUAGUGUUGAAUGCUGAGCUGUAGUCAAUGAACAGCAUUCUUACAUAGGUAUUCCUUUUGUCCAGGUGGGAUAGGGCAGUGUGAUGGCGAUUGCGUCGUCUGUGGACCUGUUGGGGCGGUAUGCAAACUGAAGUGGGUCUAGUGUGACAGGUAAAGGUGGAGGUGAUAUGAUCUUUGACUAGUCUCUCAAAACACUUCAUGAUGAUAGAAGUGAGUGCUACGGGGCAGUAGUCAUUUAGUUCAGUUAUCUUUGCAUUUGGUACAGGGACAAUGGUAGCCAUCUUGACGCAUAUGGGGACAACAGACUGGGAUAGAGAGCAAUAAACACAGCAUCAAUGUAUCGAACAUAAAUAGUUAAUAAUCAAGUGUGCUAUUGCUGGCCUGGAACAAGUCUGCUCACCCAGUAAAUCAGGGGUCAGUGGAGCGAGGUUAGCCACUUCUGGUAUUGACUUUUUUUUGUUCCCUUGAAAAUAUGCUUUAAUAGUAAUAGCCUGCUUGUUACUAAAAUGUCAAACCUUUACAUAUGAGUUAGCUUACUUAUACACUUUGAAAUUAUAUGAAAUAGUGUUGAUUCUUUGAAGUGUUUAAAGUUGUUUUAAUUGUUAAGUGAACUAUUAUUCAAGGAUAACGAGUGUCGAUGUUGAUUAAUCACAGAUCACAAUCCUGCAAUAAAGAGGGGACUAUGUCUCUAA